rnacentral:rRNA from 1 species
GGGGGAGGAAAAAGAGGGGAGGACAGCCAUGAGUUUGUCGAGCGAACAGAUAAGGAGCUUGCUCCUUUGACGUUAGCGGCGGACGGGUGAGUAACACGUGGGUAACCUACCUAUAAGACUGGGAUAACUUCGGGAAACCGGAGCUAAUACCGGAUAACAUUUGGAACCGCAUGGUUCUAAAGUGAAAGAUGGUUUUGCUAUCACUUAUAGAUGGACCCGCGCCGUAUUAGCUAGUUGGUAAGGUAACGGCUUACCAAGGCGACGAUACGUAGCCGACCUGAGAGGGUGAUCGGCCACACUGGAACUGAGACACGGUCCAGACUCCUACGGGAGGCAGCAGUAGGGAAUCUUCCGCAAUGGGCGAAAGCCUGACGGAGCAACGCCGCGUGAGUGAUGAAGGGUUUCGGCUCGUAAAACUCUGUUAUUAGGGAAGAACAAACGUGUAAGUAACUGUGCACGUCUUGACGGUACCUAAUCAGAAAGCCACGGCUAACUACGUGCCAGCAGCCGCGGUAAUACGUAGGUGGCAAGCGUUAUCCGGAAUUAUUGGGCGUAAAGCGCGCGUAGGCGGUUUCUUAAGUCUGAUGUGAAAGCCCACGGCUCAACCGUGGAGGGUCAUUGGAAACUGGGAAACUUGAGUGCAGAAGAGGAAAGUGGAAUUCCAUGUGUAGCGGUGAAAUGCGCAGAGAUAUGGAGGAACACCAGUGGCGAAGGCGACUUUCUGGUCUGUAACUGACGCUGAUGUGCGAAAGCGUGGGGGAUCAAACAGGAUUACAUACCCUGGUAGUCCACGCCGUAACGAUGAGUGCUAAGUGUUAGGGGGUUUUCCGCCCCUUAGUGCUGGCAGCUAACGCAUUAAGCACUCCGCCUGGGGAGUACGACCGCAAGGGUUGAAACUCAAAGGAAUUGACGGGGACCCCGCACAAGCGGUGGAGCAUGUGGUUUAAUUCGAAGCAACGCGGAAGAACCUUACCAAAAUCUUGACAUCCUUUGAAAACUCUAGAGAUAGAGCUCUUCCCCCUUCGGGGGACAAGGUGACAGUGGUGCAUGGGCUGUUCGGUCACCUCCGUGUCAUGAGAUGUUGGGGUUAAAGUCCAGCAACGAUGCGCAAACCCGUUAGGGCUUAGUUGCCAUCAAUAACGUUGGGCAACUCUGUAGGCUAUGAACCUGUCGCGGGUUGGCACCGAACGCGCGGACGAAGCGGAAAGAA